CUAACGUUGGCCCCUAAUCGGGGUUGCGGACAGUGCCUGGUGGGUAGUUUGACUGGGGCGGUCUCCUCCCAAAGAGUAACGGAGGAGCACGAAGGUGGGCUAAUCACGGUUGGACAUCGUGAGGUUAGUGCAAUGGCAUAAGCCCGCUUAACUGCGAGAAUGACGGUUCGAGCAGGUGCGAAAGCAGGUCAUAGUGAUCCGGUGGUUCUGAAUGGAAGGGCCAUCGCUCAACGGAUAAAAGGUACUCCGGGGAUAACAGGCUGAUACCGACCCAAGAGUUCAUAUCGACGGCGGUGUUUGGCACCUCGAUGUCGGCUCAUCACAUCCUGGGGCUGAAGUCGGUCCAAGGUAUGGCUGUUCGCCGAUUAAGUGUACGCGA
rnacentral:rRNA from 1 species